rnacentral:tRNA from 1 species
AGCUCAGCCGGACAGAGCAAUUGCCUUCUAAGCAAUCGGUCAGUGGUUCGACUCCACUA